AGAACGAACGCUGGCGGCACGCCUAACACAUGCAAGUCGAGCGCCCAGCAAUGGGAGCGGCGGACGGGUGAGGAACACGUGGGAAUAUGCCUUUCGGUUCGGCACAACUGCGGGAAACUGCAGCUAAUUCCGGAUACGCCCUUACGGGGAAAGAUUUAUCGCCGAAAGAUUAGCCCGCGUCUGAUUAGCUAGUUGGUGAGGUAAUGGCUCACCAAGGCUUCGAUCAGUAGCUGGUUUGAGAGAACGACCAGCCACACUGGGACUGAGACACGGCCCAGACUCCUACGGGAGGCAGCAGUGGGGAAUCUUGGACAAUGGAGGAAACUCUGAUCCAGCGAUGCCGCGUGAGUGAUGAAGGCCUUCGGGUUGUAAAACUCUUUUACCAGGGAAGAUAAUGACUGUACCUGGAGAAUAAGCUCGGCUAACUUCGCGCCAGCAGCCGC
rnacentral:rRNA from 1 species